UUAAGUCCCGCAACGAGCGCAACCCCUACUGCCAGUUACCAGCAGGUAAAGCUGGGGACUCUGGCGGAACUGCCGGUGACAAACCGGAGGAAGGUGGGGAUGACGUCAAGUCAUCAUGGCCCUUAUGUCCAGGGCUACACACGUGCUACAAUGGCCGGAACAAAGCGACGCGACGCCGCGAGGCAUGAGCGAAGCGCAAAAAACCGGCCGUAGUUCGGAUUGAAGUCUGAAACCCGACUUCAUGAAGUUGGAAUCGCUAGUAAUCGUACAUCAGCAUGGUACGGUGAAUACGUUCCCGGGCCUUGUACACACCGCCCGUCACACCAUCCGAGUUGGAGGUACCCGAAGCCGGUAGUCUAACCGUUGCGGAUUUAUCCGUGGAGGACGCUGUCGAAGGUACGUUUAGUGAGGAGGGUGAAGUCGUAACAAGGUAGCCGUACUGGAAAGUGCGGUUGGAUCACCUCCUUUCU
rnacentral:rRNA from 1 species